GACGAACGCUGGCGGCGUGCCUAAUACAUGCAAGUCGAGCGCAGGAAACUGACGGAACUCUUCGGAGGGAAGACAGUGGAAUGAGCGGCGGACGGGUGAGUAACACGUAAGGAACCUGCCUCAAGGAUUGGGAUAACUCCGAGAAAUCGGAGCUAAUACCGGAUAGUUCAACGGACCGCAUGGUCCGCUGAUGAAAGGCGCUCCGGCGUCACCUUGAGAUGGCCUUGCGGUGCAUUAGCUAGUUGGUGGGGUAAUGGCCCACCAAGGCGACGAUGCAUAGCGGACCUGGGAGCGUGAUCGGCCACACUGGGACUGAGACACGGCCCAGACUCCUACGGGAGGCAGCAGUAGGGAAUCUUCCACAAUGGACGAAAGUCUGAUGGGGCAACGCCGCGUGAGUGAUGAAGGUUUUCGGAUCGUAAAACUCUGUUGUAAGGGAAGAACACGUACGAGAGGGAAUGCUCGUACCUUGACGGUACCUUACGAGAAAGCCACGGCUAACUACGUGCCAGCAGCCGCCGUAAUAC
rnacentral:rRNA from 1 species